GUAGGUGGCAGAGUGUGUCUGUAGUGAAAGCGUGUGGCUCAACCAUAUAUACAUUACAGAAACUGCUCAGCUAGAGGGCGAGAGAGGUUACUAGAAUUCCUAGUGUAGGAGUGAAAUCCGUAGAUAUAGGAGGAACACCAAUGGCGUAGGCAGGUUACUGGUCUAUUAUUGACACUAAGGCACGAAAGCGUGGGUAGCAAACGGGAUUAGAUACCCCGGUAGUCCACGCCGUAAACUAUGGAUGCUAGCUGUACACCGUAUCGACCCGGUGUGUAGCGAAGCUAACGCGUUAAGCAUCCCGCCUGUGGAGUACGAGCGCAAGCUUAAAACAUAAAGGAAUUGACGGGGACCCGCACAAGCGGUGGAGCGUGUUGUUUAAUUCGAUGGUAAGCGAAGAACCUUACCAAGGCUUGAAAUCCUUGGAAGGUCUGCGAAAGCAGACUGUGCCUUUGGAACCAAGUGACAGGUGUUGCAUGGCCGUCGUCAGCUCGUGUCGUGAGAUGUAGGGUUAAGUCCCUUAACGAGCGCAACCCUUAUGUUUAGUUGAAUUUUUCUAAACAGACUGCCCUGGUAACAGGGAGGAAGGAGGGGAUGAUGUCAGGUCAGUAUUACCCUUACGCCUUGGGCUACAAACACGCUACAAUGGCCAGUACAAAGGGUAGCCAAGUCGCGAGACGGAGCAAAUCCCAUCAAAACUGGUCUCAGUUCGGAUAGCAGGCUGAAACUCGCCUGCUUGAAGCUGGAAUCGCUAGUAAUGGUAAGUCAGCACAUUACCGUGAAUACGUUCCCGGGUCUUGUACACACCGCCCGUCAAACCAUGAAAGUGGCCAACACCCGAAGUCCGAUUUAUCGGCCUAAGGUGGGGGACAUGAUUGGGGUU
rnacentral:rRNA from 1 species